GCAUCGGUGGCUCACUGGUAGUAGCUCGCCUGCCACGCGGGCGGCCCGGGUUCGAUUCCCGGCCGAUGCA